CGGCGGCGGCUUUGGCGGUGGUGGAGAGUGAGGCAGCGGCACAAUGCCAUCCCCGUCGGUGAUCCUGGGUGUUGAGGAGCAACAGUGACAAGAUACAGACUAUUAAUUGGUGAGCGCUUCUAUUAUUGGUUCAAUGCAAGACUUUAGCUAUGACCAUGCUGUAAAUGAAAGUUCUAGUAAGUGGAAAGACCUAAUAUACUUGUACAUCCUGUCACUUCAUUACUCUCAUCAAUUCACCUAAGUUUAGGUGGCAUGAGAGAUUUUGCUGUCAUGAGCUCAAGUGACACAUGUGAGAUUCAAAGCUCAGGUGGUAAUCAAGAUUUACAGAGUUUUCAGAAUGAAUCAUCUGAAGAGCAAACCAAUGAUGGAGUUGAUGGAAUAAUUGAGCUAGGUCGAUAUGCACAAAGUCAUCAUGCUACUAAAAAGUUAAGAUCGAGAGUUUGGAAAGACUUUAAAAUAGCACUAGUGGA